AGCGCCGCUCUCGGACCUUUGGCUAAGAUCAAGUGUAGUAUCUGUUCUUAUCAGUUUAAUAAAAAAUAAAUAAAUACAUAAAUAAAUUCAGCGCCGUAAUUUCAAAAUCAGUUCACGACAUGGAUGUGUCUUUGGCAUCAGCACUCUGAAACAUAUUUGUGAAAAUGGAAGAAGAUGCUUUAAGGUUGAAUCUCC